rnacentral:rRNA from 1 species
GCCGCUACAGAAACUUAAAUGAAUUGACGGGGCCGCACAAGCGGUGGAGCAUGUGGUUUAAUUCGAUGAUACGCGAGGAACCUUACCUGGGCUCAAAUGUAUGUUGACGUAUUCUGAAAGGGAUACUUCUUCGGACAAUAUACAAGGUGCUGCAUGGUUGUCGUCAGCUCGUGCCGUGAGGUGUCGGGUUAAGUCCCAUAACGAGCGCAACCCCUAUCAUUAGUUGCCAUCAGGUCAAGCUGGGGACUCUAAUGAAACUGCCUACGCAAGUAGUGAGGAAGGUGGGGAUGACGUCAAAUCAGCACGGCCCUUACGUCCAGGGCUACACACGUGCUACAAUGGCCGGUACAGAGCGCAGCGAGGCCGCGAGGCGGAGCGAAUCGCUUAAAGCCGGUCCCAGUACGGAUUGGAGUCUGCAACCCGACUCCAUGAAGUUGGAAUCGCUAGUAAUCGCGCAUCAGCAUGGCGCGGUGAAUACGUUCCCGGGCCUU